GCCUUGGGCACUGCCAGGGAUCCAGGACAGCCACAGCCGCUCUGGCACCCUGUGCCAGGGCCUGCCCACCCUCACAGGGAGGAAUUCCUCCCCAAUACCCAAUGUAAAGUAUCUACCGAGGGCCUCUUUCCCGACGCACCUCCACCACCAGGAAGGAAAAAUCCUCAUGCAAAGCCACUCAUUCCCCGCACACACACGAAGUACCUGGCAAGUUCCUAAGCAACAAGUGGCGCAGACAGGGCUGUCCGAGCCCGGGCCGGCUGUCCCGGGUACCGCCGCCUCACGGCCCCGCUCCCGCCGGCUCCCCGCGCCGGGCUACCUCGGCUCGCCGCGAUCCGCGGGAUGCGCCGGCCGCUCGCAGCCUCUGCGGCUCUGCCAAGCCCCUCCCCGGCUCCUCCUCCGCAGGAGUGAAACCUGAGCAACCAAGAUGUGACUCCUCUGCACCUGGGACCUUCUGCACCUGCACAGGGGUCUGUGCUCUCCACUGCACUGAACAGCACUUCCAUGUCUUUUGCUGCAUGUGAACAUUUGACUGGAAAUAAUAAAAUAAUCACACGAGUCUCAUUUUCUGUUCUAAUUUCUUUUGCCAGACAAUUUUAAGCUUUUUUUUUUUUUUUUUAAUUUAGCAAGUCAAAGAGAUGAACUCCCCACUCCUGAGGAGUUUGUCAGCUUGCCAUGGAGCAGAGGAAGCAGAUAAUGAGUAUCUUUUAAACCCAUCCAAGAAGGCCACAUACUUGAAACCACAGAAAAAAGGGUCUAUCCGCGUGCUUGUCACAAGUUCAAUCCUGAAAUUCACCCUAUCCUCCAAAAGUUAUUUCAGAAGAAUUGGGAAGGCAAAGCAACCCAGAGAAUGUUAUUAGUGCAGCCUGUAGCUUCUUCUGCUUUCUGAUUUUGCAAAUGUAACCACCGAAGGAGCUUCAAGCCAUCAUUAGGAGUUGGACAGGCAGGAUUUUCCAAUGCUGCUUCAUCCUCAGCUGGAUUUAUCCUGCAGUCAGCUGCUCCCAACACACAUACACACAA
rnacentral:lncRNA from 1 species